CCCAGGGCUGCAAAGCAUCUGAGAUGUUGGGGGACUCUGGUUAAAGUUAAACCAGGAAGGGGUCUGGGACAGACAUUGUAUAAACGGGUUUGAGCCAAGUCAGUUAAGUCUGAUAAACCUGGUUGAAUGUAGUAUCUCAAACCAGUUUCAGCCAUUUUUAAACCGGUUUAUGUAUCAGAACAGAUGUUCAGUGCACAGGUUUAAACCAGUUUCUGAUCACUUAAACCAGUUUAUCACUUUAAACCAGUUUAUGUGUUAUGUCUGUCCCUAGCCUCUAAGUGAAGUCAUGAUAACCACCCCAGUAUGGUUCCAAAAGUUUCCCCUAGCAGGAAAAGUAAUUAAGUGCUCUUCCUUGCCACUGGUACAAAAAAAGAAAUCAGCUUAAUUUGUAAACAAAAGCAAACCACCCUUUCUGAUUGUAGGGAUAGCUAAGCUUUGUACUAAGCUCCCAAGGCUUGCUGUUGUAGUUUCCUUCAUUGGAGGUUUCUAAGGAUAAUUUAGACAAACACAUCAGGGAUGUCACAGGUGUACUUAUCCUGCCUCAUCCCAGGAGGUGGACUAGGUGACCUUCAGCUCAACAUUGUUAUGAUUUUAUAUGGUGGAAGAGCCUCAGCUCUACAAACUAAUCUUCCCUGGGCAUGUUUGCUUCAGAGCUGCCUGGAAGUAAUGGAGAAUCCAGCUGAUCUGAAAAGAGAGGAUUAUUGCUGGUCACUAUUGGUGACUGCUUGCCUCUAGAUUUGGUGGAGUGAUUGUCACAGCUACAUAACAUUACCCAGGUUAUGUUCACUGCGGCUUCACAGUAGGGAUAGGCUCAGGGACAAAAAGAAACUGGUUAUUCUCUGUAGCCCUACUUGUUUUGUAACAUUUUUGAAAGAAAUAUCUUAAAUGAUACUUUGUUACAUCUAGAGCUAAUGCCAUUUUAUGGGGAGGAGGGGGGAUGACAGUAAAGUGAAUUAUACAAAUCAGUAUUUGCAGUAAACACAAAAGCAGUAAAGUUCUUUUAAAAAGAAAGAAGUGGAGAUUCUUUUAGAUGUUACUGUAGUGUUGGAAAGCAAAGUGUGCCAGCAAUGGGUAAAUUAAGGGGAAAUAUUUUGCCAUGAGGGGCAGUCCUUUACUGCUCUUUUCUCCCCUGUGUAGCCAAUUAUCAAACUUUGUACAUUCUGCUUUUCUUGCUAAGUUGCCUUCUCCUGCUAUUAGUACCUGAGAUGAGCGAAGCAUUUGGCCUUCUUAAAUAAAUGCACUACUUUAUUGUUUAGAGGGCUCUUUUCCUUCCCACACCAAAGGGGGUUGGUGUUUAUCAGGUGCAAGAUGGUUCUCAGGUGUUUGCUUUGGACCUGACACUCUCCCCUAAUUCUGGACUGAACCCACAUGGCUCCCUUCCCCAACCCAAAACAUACACAGUGGGAAAAUCCGUUUGUGCGUGGUUUUUGUUGUUUUGUUUUUUUUGUGGAUAAGGCAACCUUUCUCUGCCCCCUCCCUUGCAACCCUAAUAUAGUUUUACUGUUUUCUUUUUAAUAGCGAGAGACAACCCUGGCCCAUCAAUUUAUAUUAUAAAAAUAUCUCAGUUUCAAAUACUGUAUGUUGGCUUCUCAAGGAAUCAAAUCUGUUAUACUGUGCUAAGUUUCUUAACUUCUAGAGUCAGCAUUAGAUGUGUGUGUGUAUGCUGUAAGGGGAAAAUAGAUACCUAUCUAUAUAGAUAUAUAGAUAUGAUACCUGAUACAAGUAAUGGCUCAUUAUAUUCUGUCCUUGCCUGAGAAACCAAGUGCUCUUUAGCUCAAAUUUUGAACCCUUCUGGGUUCCUCAGUCAGACAAACUGUGUCAAAGUUGAGUGCGCCUCAGCACCUUUGACUCUUCUAUCUUCAAAUGAACUGAUUUAGACCCUUUCCUUUUCAAACCAGUUAGCCUUUUUGGCUAUAAUCACAUUAAUGUUAAUGUGGAGCUUUUAAUCUGGCAGAAAGUAAUUGUCACAGGAAAGGAGAAAAUAACUAUCCCAACUGCUCAUGUUCCAAGUACAGUGUUUUAAUUUGGUUUCUUUUGUUUCCUUACCAAUUAUCACUUAGAUGCUAUGUUCACAGCUUGCUAGCAUGGUUGGCUCUGCCUUAUUUUAGGGCCUGGAUUAGGUGACAGGAUGAUUGCCUUCUCUUUGCAAAAAUUGCCUUUUUAAAGCCCUUUUAGAAGCUGUUUUACUUGAUUUUUUUUAAAGAAAGUGUGUUCAUUCUGACUCCACGCUCUAUUUACAGCUGGGAAUUGAGUUAAAUAAGUAUCAAACUACACCAUUGAUAUGAAAACUGUGUAUGGUUAGAGCUGAUCUAAACUGUUGUUUCUUUUCCCAACAUCUUACAAAAUAUAAAUAGCUGUGGUGAAAUUUAGUGAAAGCAAAUUAGAUUUAAUUUUAGCCACCUGUAUUUUCUCUCUGCCCCACAAAUCUUCCUCUGUUGUAGAAGACUACAUUAUGCCCAGUAUUUUUGGAUAUCACAAGAAAGAAAAUAAUAUAUGUUAUGCACAUGUUACGCAGUAAGAAGCUGCAAACAUCUAAAUGUGUAUUUUGCCUCUUUCAGUAAUUUCCACUUACUUAUAGGGCUAGCAAAAUGAGCUUUUGGUAUCCUCCAAGAUAGAAAAACUACUUCUCAUUUAUUACCACUGCCAUGACUUUGGUAAACCUAAACCUUGAGAAUACUGUGUUGCUCUGGGGUAACUUAGUUUUGAAGCCUAUAUUUAAUUGGCAUACACCUUUCACGUUUUGGUAAGACAAGAGUACCUCUAUUCUUUGUUAAACCAUAUUUAUACUUGGCUCUGAGCAUUUUUCUCACAUUUUGUAAAUCACUGUAAUUUUUUUGUUUGUUUGUUUGUUCCAUUGUUCUCAGGCUCUUUUUAGAGAUGAUACUUUCUAUUUUAGGACUAAAUUAUAGUAGUGUUCAGUACCCUGUGCAUCUUUUCUUGCCAUGUAUUUCUGCAAAUGAAGAUAAAAAAUGAUUUAGGUAAGGGGGUUUCAACAGCUGUGCAGAACAAAGGUCUGGAAAAUGGGAGACCAGCCUCUAAUGGUCUGGCUUUGACACUGACGUUCUGUAUCAACUUAUUCAAAACACUUAACUUCUCAGAGGCUCAUUUACCUCUUAAAAUGGAAAAAAUAUUCACCAUAACUACCUCUCAGGAGUGCUGUAGGUAUUAAUCAAUUAGAGCCAAAUCAUAGCUACUUUAAAUUGCUGAGUUAUUACUGAUACAAAUAAUCAUUAAAGUUAAGCUCCUAGCAAUCUGAGAAUGAGAUUUCCAGUAUUGUCCUUAGUUUGAAAUGUUUUAAGACCCACGGAUAGAUGGCCUUAAUAAUCUGAUAUUGCUGUGGUUUAUUAUGUAAUAAAUUAUCAUUUAAUUAUUACCCUAUGCUACUUGGUGAUGUCUGAGGAUCACACUAGUCUGUUUUCUAGUUCUGUUGUAAAAAGAUGCCACAGCAAUUCUGCAGGUUUGGGAGAGAUGAUUCUCAUUGGCCUAAAAUAAUUUGUUCAACCUCACUGAUAAUGAUGACACUUAGUUUUUAUACAAUUGUACCAAACCCUGGAAACUGCACAGGAGCCAAAAGGAGGGUUUUCAAAUUUAUAUGAGGGAUUCUGGGGGGAUAGGGUCACAGGCCAGUGGGCCAGAGUGAUUGGGAAAAACAUGGUGAGCAAACAUUAACAUUAACAUAUGCGUAGAGUACAUAUAACAGACAAUAACAACUCAGUGAUAAAACCCUUCAGAGACGGAUAACAAAUAGGGAAUAUUAACAAUGGGAUGCAAUACACUGAAGAAACCUUAAGCCCUCCCUUAACUCCAGAGGGACCCUCAAACCAGUCUUUAGCCUAAAAGAGCACUCAGUUACUGUGUACCUAGGUUCCCAGUCUGAGCCCCACUGCUGUGGCCUACUGAUUCAGUCCCACUGCAGCUCCUGGUCUUUCCCUCCCCUUUCCUCUUUCCCCAGCAGCCUGCUGGGAACACUAGUUCCUGCUGCAUUAUUACAGUCCAUUACACAUGCUUUUCAUCAGUAGGUCUCAGAAUGCUUUACAAAGGUGGUAAACAUUGUGAUGCCUAUUUUAGAAACCAUGAGUCCGAAAGAGAUGAAAACAUCCUGAAGCAUCAAUUUCAUAAAUAGAGUAAAAUAGAGGACAGAAUUUAACAAAGUCAACACAAGUAAAAGCAGUAAGGGAACCACUGCCAUAGUUCUUCUGGAUCAAGCAAAACUUUAUUUCUGUUCUCCUCUAUUUUCAGUUUUCUUUUCUUUUAACAUUUUUUUCCAACGUGUGAACUAAAAUAUAAAAAGUGUGAAAGAAUAUAAAACUAUUUGGCAAUAUUACAAGACACUCCAGCUUCUUCUUCAUUAUUUGUUUCUAUAGACUUCUUGAGAAAUGUGCUAUUUCUUGUAAAGAUUUAGGACCUGAUCAUGUUUUAUUUCAGGGAUGGUAUAAAUUAGUGAUAUAGAGAAGACUGUAAAAAGAGAAUAAGAUUGGUUUAAAUUCAACUCCUGAGUUCCUUAUAUUCACUAAAGCUAGGUGAAAUCUAGUGCUGGAACAUUUUUCUACUAAAAGAUGCAGGUUUGGGUUCAUAAAACCUUACCAAAAAAUUCUUUAAAAAUUGAAAAAUUGCUUUCUUAAAUUAUAGGUGUAAUUUUUUCCACUUGGAGUUUUUGUUUGUUUUACUUCAUUUUAGUUAAAUAAACAAAAAAUCCACAAGGAAAGUUCAGAACUAUUUUUUUUGCUUGACUUUUUGGAUUUUUGACCAAUUUUAUUUAAGGUUUACCCAAAAUAUUUUUUUCAGUACAGUAUGCAAACACAAAAUCAUUUUGUAAUAGAGCUACAUCUAUGACCACAAGAUGUCUCUAUCCUAGCAUUUCCCAUAAGCAGCAAGGCCAUAUUUUGAAUGUUGAAGCCCCAUUUGUACAGAGAGCAGAUUGAAUAAAAUGUGCUUAAGUGAAUGUUGUAAAACCGAAAAAUCUCCUUUGUUGUCAUUGUUAGUUUUAUACAGUAAAUCAGCAGGAGUUUUAGUUUAGUUGGUAUAAUGUUUAUAAAAUGAUUAUGGAGUUGUCAGAACUCUUGACAUAUUUAAUCUGCUAUAAGACUUUAGCAGAAAGCUUUCAGAUUUCAAAUUUGUCAAAUAACAAGUAUUUGUACUAGGAAUUAUUUUUGCUUAAACAGAACUAAGUUACAGUCAUCAAAUAAGCAAGUAAGAACAAAGAUUAAAUGCAUCUCUGGAAAAAGAUAGAAGAGCAGUGAAAUAUAGCUUAAAAGGAGAAAAUGAAUGGUAAAAGACACAAGGAGAAGCAAAAGGAUGGGAUGCAAUAUGGUAGGGGAACAUAGAGGGAGAAUGUAACGGCACUUGUGUAAGCAAAGGUAAUAAUCUUAUUGGCUUUCUCCUAAUGUCAGUUUUUAACUAUCACAGCUGCAGUACAUGUAUAGUCCCUCUCUCUUUUUCUAAUCUAACAUUUCAGACAGUGUUCUCACAGCUAGCUUAAACGAUUGCAGUGUAAUGUGUUUCCAUUAGUAUUUCAUGUGAUGGAGUAUGAAUUAAAAAAAAGCAGAAGUAUAAUAAUUCAUAUCUUCCUUCAGUACAUAAUAUCAUUUUUCCUUCCAGCUUGUUUUAUGCAAAUUUGCAUUAAUCCUUUGGAUGUAUAACAUACCAGCUGACGCAGUGGGGCUGACUUCUUUGGCAGGCAUACUAUAAAUUAGUCCUGCACCCUCCCCAAGUAGCACUCUGAUCUCCUUCCUGCUUGAUCUGCUGCUCUGCAUUCUUGUUUCCAGCCCUAUCUGUCAUGCUGUGCUGCAUGCCACUCAGAGGCUGCCUAUGCCAUUGGUGGUACCUGUGAUGCUGCUUGGCCACCCUUGAGAUAACAGAUUUAACAAUAUCUAGCUCAAUUUGAUGAUAGCACAUCAAUUUGGGAAGUUUUAAUAGAUUUGGUUUAUUGAAAGUUGCUUCAAACAGUUUUAAAAUGCUUACAAUACCCUUUACAACAUGAAAUAGCUCUACAGCUAUGAAGUGAAUUAAGUGUCUGACUACAGAGUUGUACAUGCAUUCUGUAAAAAGCCUGGUCUUGCUAUUUGGUUCUGCGAAGCAAUCUAACUAAGUGCAUCUUUACUCACCAGUUGCUAUAUGGCAGCUCCCUUUCCUAUUUCCCUGUCUAGACACAUGGGACAUCUUUACACAUGCUUCAGGGGAGGGGGGUAGCAGGCUCUUUAAUUACAGCGGCCCUCGGUAGCUGCUCUACUUAAAGUGCCUACAGCGUCUUGUGUAUUCAGUGUCCAGUGCUUCAAAAUGGUGGCAGGGGCUCUUGAAAUAAACCUCGUUUGAUGAGCUUCAGUUAAAGUGUUCCCACCACCAUUUUGAAGAAUGGGGAUGCUGAAUGCAUGAGACACCAAGGCUGCUGGAGUAUGCUAAUUGGGGCUCAGUUAAUCAAGUCUGCUCUAACUUGUCCUAAUGAUCACGUGUUGGAGCAGGCAUCAAGCACGUGUAUAGGUGCCCAUGGGGAGAAGUGCUUCUCACAAUCUGAACUUUCUGAAUGUUAUGCCAAAAAAAAAGGGGGUGGGUGAACUUGAGCUUGAACCUGAGUAGUUUCUGUUGUGUAAUUGGGGACCAGAAAUAUCUUAAAUUGGUUCAAACUUGUUCAGAAUAUGAUUCUUUCUCACCCUGUUAAUUAAACAUUUGAUUAGAUGCUGUUUGCCUAUAAUUUAAGAUUUACAGUUAUGUGAAUUGUUAACUAAUACUACAUACUGUAAAUAUCAUCCAUGUCUCAUCUAACGAGGUUUGAUAAUAACACAAUGAUCAUAUAGAUGCAUAAAAAUAAAUACAAGAAAGAAAGGAGUGUGAAAGAUUAUCACACUGUAGCUAAAUAUUUCUUUACCAUUUAUUAAUGAAAAAUACCAGCAUGUUUUUAACUUUUGAUCCAAAGCAGAGCAAAAUACCUUUAGGGAUAAUUAUCUUUCUGACCUAAAGGGAAAAUUUUAGAAGUGGUAUAUGGCAUUCCCAUUCUUCUCCCCUCUCCCCCCCCCCCUUAGUUUUUGCCUGAAUCCAUUAUAAAUCAAGCUUGGUCUUUAUCCAAGUAUUCUUAUUUGCAUUUAUUGUCACAGAGGGAACAUCACAAUUUAUUGCAACCAGAAUUUCUUGCUAACAGUAAAGUAGAAGUGUUCCCCAACUUGACCUUUUGUUCAACUGAUAUCAGCCUUCUCUUCCUGAAAUCUUUACCAUCUCUAAGCUUUUUAAAGAACUGCUUUCUUGACUAGAUUAGUAAUUUGUAUUUCACUGCUGAUUAUCAGCCUAAUGCAAGUAUUACUUGUACCAUUUGGAGAUGAUUUUCUUGCCUGAGUAAAUGUUUACAGGAGGCUGCCAUGAGGGGCUUUAUGAGGUCUUUCCUAUUGGAGGCAUCAGCCUCUUUGAACCCUCUUGCAUGGGAACACUGAAAAACAAAAACCACACAGGCUAGGUAACCAAAAAAGAUGUAAUCCCUCAUGGGCCCAUGAAGUUCAGGAGAAGGUGCUAAUCAAUUGGAGGCUGUCAGGCCAGUUAAAAAGCUUGCCUCCUUUCUCUCCUUGGGAUCUUUUGGCUGAAGCUUGAUGAAAAAGGCAGUCCUUAGUGCAAGUACUGAAAUGUCUUCCAUCCAAGAUUGAGGAUCAGGAAGCAUUUGUAUGUGACUUUAAGACACAGAGAAACAAUGUCCUGGGCUUAUUUAUCUUUUUGAUGAACCAUUUCAAGAUGGACACCAGUUUGUUUUAUUAAAAGUUGCCCUGUUCUAGAAGGGUUGCCUUUAUUCAGGUAACAUAAUUAACUGUAAAGGGCUGAGAAAUAAAUUCCAAGUUUAUUUUAAAAAUAAAAGUAAAACAAAAUGAACACAAUGUGGCUUUUUAAAUUUUUUUAUAGAGAGAACAAUAAAGAUAUGGUAUGAGGCUUAGUACAUUCAUCUCCUGACUAUUUCCAUAGAAACAACACUGUAAGUUACAUUUUCAUUUUAAAGUCAUAAUUGUUAAGAAUAUUUGUUUGUCUUUCAUUUGCCAAAGAGUAUACUCUGUCCAAAGGGCCAUCAGGAUCACCUGUCGAAGAGAAUGGACAGCAUUUUGAGUUCCAGAGACCAAUCCAUCUCGACUAUUUCAGAUGCAUUGUCAUAUAAAGGGCUCCUGGAUGCAUUUCUCAGCUUCACCUUUUGCCUUCUCAACCAAUUUCCUAGGCCACUAGCCAAGCAAUCCAUGGUUCCCUUCUGUAGGCAUCUGCAGGGAUGUUAGGUCAAACAGAUUCUGACCCCAAACUUGUGCGCAUGCUGUGGGGUUAGUGGAGCAUUAGAAUCCUACACACCCUGAAGUAUCUAACCUCAAGCGUGUAAUGGUGUUACAGUAACUGGGUGGAUGCAUGCAUGCAGAUUUUUUCAAAAUAAGACUGGCCCCAAUGUUGCAAACACUUAGACAUGCUUUUGUAGCUAUUAAAGCCAGAACAGAUUGCUGUGAUCACUUGGUCAGCCUCCUGUAUAACACAGGCCAUAGGACUUUUCUGAAAACUUCUUGUUUGAAUUAGAGUAACUGCUUAAGAAGAAAACACCCUGAUUUAAAAAUUGCAAGUGGAGAAAAUACCCACAAACAUCAGUUAGUUUUUUUUUUCUUUUUCCAAAUGUUAAUUACUCUCAUUGCUAAAAAUAUGGACUUUAGUUUUAGUUUUGAAUUUGUCUUGUUAUAUAUUCCAUUAACUAGACUUACAAUGCCUUUAACUGCUUGACUGGUUAAAAUUUUAUUCUCAGUAUAGGUACUUAUACAACGUGAACAAAUCACCCUUUAACCUUCUCUUUAAACAGCUAUCAGCUAUCUUUAAACUCCAUCAGUAGAUGGAGCUCCUGGAGUCUCUCACUAUAUAAACUACAAUUUCCAAUCCUUUAAUCCUUCUUGCAGCUGUUUUCUGUACCCUUUCCAAUUUAACUGCUUUGUUCUUGAAUUUUAAAUACCAGACUGGAUAUUGUAUACCAAGAACAGUUGCACAAUGCCAAACAAGAGGGAAUGAAACUUCCUUACUAUUACCCAAGAGUCCCUUGUUUGGAUUUUCAAAGUCCUUAGUGGUCUUUCUUCCCACUGUGUUUCCCAUCCAGCUCGUGUUCUGUUUUGGUUAUUCACCAAGGCCUUUUCAGGGUCAUGGUUGCCCAAAAUGUUUCUUAUCAUGUAAACAUGGCCCAAAUUCUUUGCUCUUAGAUGUAUGAUUUUAUAUUUUGGCUGCAUUAAAAUGCACAUUGCUUACACCCUGCUUCCAACAUGAUCCAGAUAUCUCCCUAUCAAAAACUUUUUUAAAAACUAUCUACCACGCCCCCAAUCUUUAGAAUGAUUUUCUGUUUUCAUUGGUGAUGAUUUUAUAUUUUCUUCUGAUCAAAAUGUUGAAUAGUGCAGGGCCUAGGAUCAAUCUUUAGACCCCACUUGAAACGCAUCUGCUUGAUGAUUGUUCAUCCUCACAUUUUAAGAUGAGUCUGGUAAUUUUUAAAUUCACUUAAAAUAUACCAUGUUAAUUUUGUAUUUUUCCAGCUUCUUAAUUAGAAUGCCAUUCAGUACCAAAGCAAAUGUUCUAUGGGAAGUCAUGUAUCCUAUCAACGUGGUUAUUUUUAUUAACCAAAUUUGUAAUCUCAUUAAAAAAAAGAUAUUAAAUUAGUUUGAUAGUGUCUAAUUUGCAUAGUCUGGUUGAUUAGCCUUAUGUUUUGUUCUUUAUUAAUAGAGUCCUAUAUUAGCCAUUCUAUUAUUUUUACAUUGCUUUGAUUUUAUUGAAACUACUUGCUUGUAUAAAAAGUAAUGUUAUGUACUUAAGUGCACAGGACUAGACUGAGUUUGUGUCUUUAUUGUGUUUUGGAUCUCAUGUUAUAGAAUCAUUUUCACUUGCAUUUUUGAGGUCCAACUUCAGUUUCUAAUAUGUCAUAGGGGUAAUUAUAUUAUGUGUUCCUGUGACUUAGGCACUUGUGCUUCUAGAUUUAUCACUCUUUAAUUACAAGAUACUUUAUUAUCAAUUCACAUUUUAAUCUAGUUAUUUUAAUCUGCUUUUAAAUCCCUGGUAAGUGUAGUUUUGUCACCAUUGAAAAAAUGUAUUUCAAAUUUAUGCUCUAAGAUGUGGUGCAGAUGUUUGAUAAAGUGCUCUGAACUAAAGCACUUCAGUCUGAUACCACAGCCAUCUAGGAUAAAACACUAGUCUGAUACCACAGCCAUCCAGGAUUAAUUUUGAGAGCUGGUAGAUGUGCAUGGAUGCUGCUACAACAUGCUGUAAUUACAGUGCCUCAGAUCACACUUGAUUAAUUGACUGUUGGAGUGUGCAAAUUAGCAUGCUUUCAGCAUUCCCAUACUUCAAAGUGGCAGCAGAAGUGCCUUAACUAAAGCUCGUUGAAUGAGCUUUAGCUAAAGCACCCCUGCUGCUAUUUUGAAGCCACUCUAAUUAAAGGAUUCCACCCCCCAGAGCACAUGUUAAGAUGGUUUUAGAUUAGUAUCUGCCAUUUUUAAAGUUCUUUAUGUUCUGUGAGUGUGUGUUUUGUUACAGCUGUAAAGUGCUUUCUGCGUGCUUAACACAUGCUAAGUGUAACAGCUGGACCCAGUCUGAGUGUUUCCUCUCUUGUCUUAAAACUGUUUAUUAACUCUCAAUUCUAAGCCAAAACCUAGCAUAUCCUUGUAUAUCUCUGGCUGCUGGUGUCUUUGAAUGAGAAAAUUAAAAAAAAAAUAAUAAUAAUAAAAAAAAAAAAAUAUAUAUAUAUAUAUAUAUUAGUUUUUAUAGCUCCCCUAUUCCUUCACACUAUUUUAUCUGAGAUCUGCUAAGGAUAUAGAUUCUACUAAGAUCAAUUUCUUCUACCAGCAUAGAAAUCCAUAAAAAUUUAAUGGGGCUGGUAUGUGAGGGAGUAAUAUAACUCUUUAUCAGAUGGUAUAAAAAAAAAAGCUGAGUCUUGUUAGGGCUACUUUAAUGUGUUUCCAUACUUUAUAUUAUUAAUGGUUUGUGAAAUCUGUUAAUAAUUUGCUGUUUCCACUUUCACUUAGCUUUGUAUUUUCUAGAUAUUAUAUCCAUACCUACUGUAUAUUUAUCUGAUGCCAUGCUCUUCCAAGAACUACCUGUUUGCUUAUAUUUAGUUCAUAAAAUUAAGCUGGAACCUUCUAUUUUUUUUGUGUUUUAAACUUUUGUUUAUACUUUUUUUUCUUUUAAUGAAGGAUGACAUCCCAUGGGGAAACACUGUAUUAAUACACUGAGCUCACACACAGCCAUCCAGUUUUUCUUACCAUUUUGGUAAGAAAAGGUUGACUUAAAUGUUGAAACCAUUGGCUUGUUCUCCGUUUCUGAAUGUCCUAAACUAACUCAACCUUAAAAAAUGAUCUGAAAGAAUAUAUUUCACAAUGGAAAAAGAAAAAAAAAAUUGUCAGAUAAGUUAUUCUAAGGAUAAUUUAUAGGUUUUAAUAUUAAAUAUAACUUAGGCACAUACUGGUUUUGAUCUUUGUCACAGGGCACUAAGGUGUGCCUGCUCCUUUAAGGGCAGAAACUGCCUAGAGAGAGGGCCCUAGGUAACACCCCCACAGGUGCAGGUUGCCAUGGCAGCAGGCUAAUGAAGGAAUUAGUCUGCACUAAACCCAGUCAGCUGACUGGAAGGAGGCAGGGCCCUGGGCACAUAUAAGCCCCAGGGCUGGGGCUGAAGGCAGUCAGUUUUCUGGCAGCAGCCAGAGGGGAAGGAGUUGAUGCAUAAAAGCUCCACAGAGAUGCUUGGCCACCUGUCUGACCGCUGCCACUGUGAGAAUUGUGAUUCCAGAGCAUUUGCUUGUACAGCAAAAUAACUGGACUCAAGAAGACAGCUUGAGCGUGAAAGUACCGGGCAGUUCAGCUCAUCUUCAUCUUGUCUGGGAACAGCAAUAAAUCUUCAUCUCUUCUCUAUGACCUAAGAAAAUAAUUGGUAUGCUCAUUACCAUCUUUCAUACGGAGAACCAAGUAGAACUUCCCCUUUUGCGCUAUAUGAAAAGGAAUGGAUAUCUGGCUCCUUUAAACUUUGUUGUGUCGUUAUUGUGCUAUUUCUUUGCAAUUCCCCCC